rnacentral:rRNA from 1 species
GACGAACGCUGGCGGCGUGCCUAAUACAUGCAAGUAGAACGCUGAAGGAGGAGCUUGCUCUUCUGGAUGAGUUGCGAACGGGUGAGUAACGCGUAGGUAACCUGCCUGGUAGCGGGGGAUAACUAUUGGAAACGAUAGCUAAUACCGCAUAAGAGUAGAUGUCGCAUGACUUUUGCUUAAAAGGUGCAAUUGCAUCACUACCAGAUGGACCUGCGUUGUAUUAGCUAGUUGGUAAGGUAACGGCUCACCAAGGCAACGAUACAUAGCCGACCUGAGAGGGUGAUCGGUCACACUGUGUUUUGAAAACUGGGACCAAACUCCC